CUCGGCUGUCGCAAGUGGCCGACAUGCCCACGUGGGUGAGGCCAUGCCGAUCAUUCCGUUGGCGCAUCUGAAGCAUGCGCACGUGGAAAGGUGGAGUUUGUCACUUAAGCGCCAAUUCCCAGUUACGUUGGUGGAGCCCACACCAAUUUCUGGGUUAAACUUGGGCCGGUUUUUGGUUAUUUUAUUUUUUUAUUUUAGGUUUUAGGUUUUAAGUCCAAAUUAGAACUUGUGUUGGAAUGGAUUUUGGGGGGGGGGGGGAAUAGAAGAGGAAUUAUAGGUUUUAGGCCAUGGGUUGGAGUUGGCCUAAGAAACACCAGUUAACAUAGGGCCUUGAAAAGGUCCAAGAUAGGGCCUUGAAAAGGUCUAAGGGACAUAUAAGCCUAAGGCUGAGAAGCCUGGAAAAUGACACAACCUGAAUACCGCUCGGAUAUCGGCCGAGCGAUAUAGGCCUCAAAUGCUUAUUGAAGAGCACGUGGGCAAACUGACAGCUUUAUAACACGAGUUUGCAGAGAAAAGUCCACUCAUAUGUCAUUCAAGCUAGAUGGCGACUUGGGAACAACAAUGAAGACCCAAGAUGGGACACAAAAUGAGUUGAAGCGGCGUUCGGGGAGAUUGGGUUAAUUAAUCGAGGCCAACAGGGGGAAAUGGGCUACUUUAUUCUAUGACAACAUGCAUUUGGAUGCACAGCAACCACUUCACCGCAAAUGUUUGGUUGACAGGUAAAAAGGUGUCAUCGAGCUAGUUCUUGUAGAGUGGCACAUUAAAUGCUCCCUGUGAAAGACCCAAGGAAUGAGGGUUCAUUGGAGGCCUCUAUGAAGGGGCAUGAACCCCCAAUAUCAAGGUUGGACAACUUGAGAAAGUGAAAUUGAUGUAUUAGCCAAGCGUUAUUUUUAAUCUUAUAAUCAAUAGAAUUCAACAACACAGUGGACGUAGACCAAGUUUUGCAGGGUGAACCACUUAUAUCUUUGUUCAUUUUAAUUCUAGGCCAUAUCCAAGAGCCCACCAAGGAUCAUAUAUUUUUUAUCAUUGGGUUUAAAGUAUGUUAGUGUCCACAUGGAUUCAUGACACACCCCUUCCCGAAGGAGGGCAUGCUGGCCGUCACGAUCCGAAAUAAUACUCAUUGGUACUCUAUAUGCAUCAAAACAUAAUAAGGAUGCAACAAUAUAACAGGUGAAAUAAGGAAUCAACCGGAAACCCUGCAGCUGUCCUGUACAGUUAAUUCUAUAGCUCAAAAUCCAAUCCAACCGGAGUCACCACUGUGACCUGUACGACACUACUCUGCACAUAAAUCAGAACUACUUGAAGUAGUCUGUACGAUAAGAAUGGUGUAAGAAUACGCUCUAGUGCUUCUCUCAUCAACAACUGUAUAAUAAUCUAAAGUCACCUACAAGUCGGAACCACCUCUCAUGGUCUGUACGACAUGCACCUACUUAGAUCCAAGGUGAUCGUGUGGUGCAGGAUGAAUAAUAUAAGCACUAACACUAGGAGUGCAGGUUAUGAGCUCUCAACACAAUUCACAUCAUCAAUAAAUCACAUGAACAAUAUAAACCUCACCUGAUACUCACAUGUGCGUCCACAACACCAUUUCACAUAUAUGCAUCAAAUACUAAUUCACAUAUUUCAUAUAAUAUGCAUGCAUGGCAUACUUUCUGGUUUUGAUAAAGAUUUCUGAAUUGAGCUAUUUGAAGAUUUAUAUGCAUAUUAUAUACUAUUUUUCUGGGAAAAUAUACAUGUUUUACAGCGAGGGGUUAGAAAUGUUAUUAUAUGAGAUAUUUUCGAAAAACUUUGUUUUACUGACCCACUCAAUCUUGUUUUGCGCCCCUCUAGGUUCUAGUUAGCAGUGUUGGUGGCUCACGAGGAUUCCCACGGUGUUCUAACAGAAUUCACAAAAGUAGGACUCACCAUCGGGUGUUACAUCUUAGUAAUUGUAUCUUUAAAGCUUCAGAAUUGUGUAAAUGGUUACGUCACUCUCACGUGACGGCCAACAUGCUCUCUUUCGGGACGGGGUGUGUCAUUUAACGUACAAAACUGACACACCCCGAUCCUAGAAUCAAGGCGUGCUGGUCGUCGCGUGGGCGUGACGUAACCAAAAGUGCGACACAGAAGCAAUAGAUAAGAGAAAUAUGAAGGAAUAAAAACCAAUUACUAGCAAUAAUAUCCAACUAGCAUGCUAGAGUAAGUUUAGGUGUGAAACACACAUAUUCAGAGCGUAAAUACUAGGUGCAGUCAAGUAGGACUAUAACUAAAUUACAACACCCGAAGGUGAGUCCUACAUUUAUGUAGUCUGUCAGAACGCCGUGUAAAUCCUCGUGAGCCACCACACCGCUAACUAGAAUCUGGAGGGGCGCAAAACAAAAUUGAGUGGGUCAGUAAAACAAAGCUUUUCGAAAACAUUUCAAUUAAUAACAUUUCUAACCCCUCGCUGUAAAACCUGUAUACUUUCCCAAAAAAUAACAUAAUAUGCAUAUAAAUCUUCAUAUAUCUCAAAUCACGAAUCUUUACCAAAAACCAGAAAGUAUGCCAUGCUAUAAGCGUCAAUAACAGAAUAAGGAUGCAACAUUAUAACAGGUGAAAUAAGGAAUCCGCCCCGGACCAGGAUGUGACAAUUCAUUUGGGUUUGACCUCCAAUUUUGAGCGUUAACACACUUGACUUUAUUUAUUAUUAAUAUAUUUUACCUAACUUUUGACACUCGUUUUUUGGACCCACUUUGUAAUACUUAUUAAUCAUCCAAACGUCUAUUUUUUAGAACAUUCAUAGAUCAUCCUUGCAAAAAGUUAGACAAAUUCAAAACCAUUAAUACAUUCAUUAGUUGUGGAAAAAUUGACGAACACAGUUCUACAAAGCAACCCUAAACCCUGAAUCCAACGGUCAUAUGGUUUCAGAUUUGGGUGGUUUUUGGUAGACAUCAACUUUGAGGAAAGUCCUAAAAGAUAGAUGGUUCAGAUCAUUAAAAUAUAUUACGGAGUGGGCCUUACAAGAACGUGUCAAAAGUUGUGUAGAAAAAGUGGUGCGACGGAUCCAUCUCAUUUUCAAAGUGAGACAUAUCAACUCUAUUGCUCAUUUUUAUUAUAACACAUAAAAUAGUAUAUCACUUGACUUGUGUUUCAAUACCUGUAAAAAGUUUUAUGCAUUGAGAACUCAAGCCAUUAACUAUAUAAUACUAUUUUUAUGUCUAAUCAAGUUCUCAAUUAUCCCAUAAGAAUGGAUUUGAAUCAUAUCCGGAUUCAAAUUAUGAGAAUCCUAGGGAUCCUCACAUCUUAGCUAUUCAUCGUGCAUUGUGUGGUCAGAAAUUAUUUGAUUUUUUAUUAUUUAAAAUUAAAUACAAAUAGUACCUGACGAAAACUGACCUCAUGCCAAACCUAAGCAUGAUAAUUACUAAUUAGUUAUUCUUAAUUGGUUUGUUGAUGAGAGCAUGUGGCCAACCAAUUAUGACAAUGCUCACGUGACCAAGAAAGUUUAAUUAAUUAUAAUGACUGAAAGCUAAAGCGUGUUUAGAGUUCUUUUGUUCUCAAAUUAAAAGUAGGCUUUGAUAAUCUACGGAGUACCUAAUAAAUCAAAAUUGCAAUUAUUGACUUGACAUGCCUUCCUUUUUUUCCUUGUUUUUUUUUUUGAAUGAGGAUUUUUCAACUAGAUUUUACCUACACUUAUGCUGGAUAGUCUUCAAUAUUCCGUACUAUUGGAAAGUCCAACUUGAUAUUAUUAGAUUGGUAAGUAUCCAAAAAUAAUAUUUUGUUUAACCUUAACCGUUUAUUUGUCGUAUUAUUGAAUAGUUCAGACUAUUAAAAAAAUUGUUUAUUUUGAUCUUAACCCAUUAUUUCAAUCUCGCUCGCUCUCCUAAACCAUUAAUUAACUCUCGCUGAGUACUUGAGUUGACCAUCGUGGCUUAGAGCAUCUCUAAUGGAGAUGUCAAAAGAUAAAUGUCAAAUGUUAAUUUGAUGGCUGACGUGGCAAUGUUAGAUUUUCUCUUUUUUCAUCCGAUUUGUUUUUUGUUAUAAAUGAUAUUGUAGAAUCCAUUUUUUAAAGAAAUCAAUUAAAAUAAAUUUUUAAAAUUUAUAAUUUGUGCAUUAAUGGGACCAACACAAUGAAAUAAUUAAAAAUUAUUUGACAUCAUCUGUUCUCAUAUGUCAAAUUUGACAUAUGAAAACUCAUAUGUCAAUCCACAUAGGAUUGACAUAUCGGUUGGAGUUUACUCUUGCCUUCAAAUUUGAUUACAUAACAUUUCACUAAGGAUUUAACAUUUUUUUUAGAAAUGAUCUUAUGUAUUAAACAUCUUUGGUGUUUUUAUGUAUUAAACAUGACGUAAAGAAACACCAGCGUCUCCUUCGAUAAUUGAUAAAAUAAUUAACUCCUAUGGUGAUCAUGAUUUCACUUUGAAAGAGAUUGUACUAGAUUGGGUGGGAUCAUUUCUUUGUUUUAGGUGCCAAAAUGUGAACCGAACCACUCAAAAAAGAGAAAGUAAUUUCUACCUACUUAUUUUCUUCACACUCGUAUUCAUUUUUAACAUUUAGAUUGAAUCAAUAAAAAAAAAAAUUAAAACGGCAAAAAUAAAUCGGAGUACACGGAGAAGAAGAAUGCAAAAAUCAUUUCCCCACUCAAAAUUAGACCAAGAGCAUAACUAUUCUGGCCACUCACUUAUCAAAGAUUGAAUUUGAAACUUCCUGAAAACAUUUUCUUGGUAUUCCUCUUCAUUUGAAAGUAAAAAGUCUUAGGUUCAAAUCUCAUAGAUAGCGAAUUCGAUACCAAAUUAAGCUACCUAUGGUGUGACUUAACCGAACUCUCUCUUCUCUUAGUAUAAAAAUAUUAAUGUACUCAAAAGAAAAAACACAACGUUAACAGGAAACAAAACAACCUCUGCUUACACCCAAGGGCUGUGGAGGGGUAUUCCAAACGUCAUAAAACUACGAUUCCAAAACUGCAAGAUCUCUACCUCUACGGGCGGGCAAUGCUAAAGUUUAAAAAGAGUGGGGGAAAAAUGUUAACAGAGACAUAUUUUCCUAAAUCGUUUUCGGAUUUAACUAGAUGAAUGUCCAGAUUGGGGUCUGCUCUUCUUGUAGUAACUCCCAAAUCUUUGGGGAACCGGAGCCUCGUAUGAUGAAUCCCCAAACCAAAAAGCCGCCUUUCAAAAUAAUUUUGACGGAUGUGACAAAAUGGGGUAAAGUGAAACACAAAGUUAAUUUUUAAGUGAUUGGUAAGUAAAACAUUUUGAGUUAUAAUUGGCAAAGCGAGAAUAAGAUUGAGCUAAGAAGGUGGUAGUUGUGGAGCAAAAAAUAAUUCCAAAAAUCGUAGGGCGACAUGUGGAUAUUUUUUCUUUCAAGAUAGACAGGAUUGAUUUCACUAAAUGGGCAGGGCUCUCAAAUAUUCCCAGGAGCAGCUCAACAUCCUUAGAAGUUCAAGCAGCGGACAACGACUGAUCAAAGCUCCCCGUCGCAUGGAAAAGUUAAAUGUGUUAAAGAUAAGGUUAAUUACUAAAUCCUAUAUUUAAUACAUUCUCAAUUAAAGAUCAACUCAAUCAAGAAAGGAAUCCCUAUCACAAUUAUCCCAAUAUAUUUUCUUCUAAUGAAUAUCUCGGGAACUUUCUUUCCUCAUUCAUCCAACGGAUGACAUACUAUUGACCCUAAAAACUACCAAGCCUACGUGACGCGCAUGCCAAGUAACUAAUAAGCUAACUACGUCCUUUGGUUAUGUGCAGGGCGUGCCAACUCGACGGUCGAACUCAAUCGGGGAGUAAAAUGUGUUGAUGUUGCGUUGAGCCCGUCGUUGACUUCUUAAUCCUGCGAUUGCGGCUGAGGAAGGAACACGUCUCAGCCUUUGGGUUCUAGAGCCUGAAGACAAGGCUGCUAGUUCUGUGAAGUUCAUGAAUCGUCAGCACCGGGUUCAGUCACGAUGAUUAUAUUCGUAAGAGUAUAACCACGCUGAACUGGCACUAGGAAAAUAGACGCAAGUACUCGAAAGAGAUGUAUUUCUUGAUAGUAAAUGUGGUUUGAUCGUCGAAAUGCUGAACUCUAAAACUCACUUACGAAUAUCCAAUCAUAAAACAACUCGGCUUUCAAUGUGCCGAGCCUAGUAACCUGUAACACCUCACUUCGCUAAGAAGGCUGAUGAGAUGACCUCUACCAACAGGAACUCGAAAGUCCCUGUCGACCAAGACUUGGAUAAAUAACCAUUCGAUCUCGAAGCAGUGCUGUUUAUCCAAACUGAAGGUGCUCUUUGAUUUGCUAAUUCUACGCUCCAUUGAUGUUUAUCCAAACUGAAGAUAUCACCGGUUGCCUUCACAGUGCUGUUUAUCCAAACUGAAGAUGUGUUGGCAGAAGAAAUAGGAAAAGGAUAAAAUCUCAAAGGUUGUUGAGAAGCUUUGCACAAUGCAAUUUGUGUGUUGAAUUGGAGGGUCUUGAAUGAUGCACUCUCUUCUCUAUUUAUAGUAGCAAACCCCUUCAUGGCCGAGCUAGAAUCGUACUUGGAUUAGAACUCCUCAACCCAAUCUGAUUAGGUCUCGACCAAUCCUAGCUCCAAUAUGACUUUGAAUCAACCUCUUUUAACGAACCAGAUUCAUCCCCUAAAUCUCAGCAUCCUCAGCCUUAGCCUUAAGACUCCUUGUUGCACUAAGUCUCGAUUACCCUACCUUUAUCUAAACCAAUCUUCAUUGCAGUAAGACUCGCCCGACCCUAACUAAAUGGCCCAUGACAACUGGACGGCCCAUGAUAGAACUCUAAGUAGUCACUAGGCCAAGAGUCACUAAACUUGACCCAAACUAUCAUUUUGAGCCCAAACACAUACCUUGCCCAAUAAGAUGUCGCCGUGUGUAGGGCAAAACCCUAAACCCAUGGCCUGCCACUUCCUCUUAUAAUAUAAAUAACUCAUCUCCACCAUAUUUUGGUAAGCUUUUUGCUACGCAUACAAGCCCUAAACAUUUACUCUUUUUAGAUAAACUAACUUAGGCAUCAGAGAUCCAUUGGCCAAACCGCUCAUCCCACCUUGCCAAACCCCGCCCCCCACCUAGUGGGUGUGUAAGGCUUUGAUCUUUGAUCAAAUGUGUUGAUUGUUUUAUAAUAAGUACAAUUUUGUCAAAACUGAAGACGGUAAAAGUUUGCUACCAUUGUAGUUUAAAGAAGCCCUGCUGCCAUUGUAGAGCAAAGAAGCCUUGAAAACACACUGUUUGCAUCACGUGUGACUUCUAUUGCUCAAUAUAACUGGUUUUGCCGAGUCCACCCAACAUAUGGUGAUCAGCCCAACAUCACUAGGCCACAAACAAGGCCUAUUGGACCCGUAUGUCAGCAACCCCAACUUGAUAAAAUUGGGCCAGUUCAGUAAUGCCCAUGAACCAAUGGAAAAUAUCUCUCUACGUGGGACCCGAUAAACGAUAAAAUCUCCCUUCCAUCAUUAUCUAAGUCAGUAAUGCAACAUCAAGAUUAAUAAUAAAAACACGUGUCAAAAUAUGACACGUCUCACUUCCAAAGUUUCAAAACACAUGUACGGACGUAAGCUAGUUCACAAGACAACUCGGUGAAGUGUCGCGAGCCUUUUAGCUUGAUGACAAGGACGGAUCUUAUCUUCUCUAAGAUAUUUUAAUUUUUAUGCCGACAUCAACAUAGUACACCUGUCCUCAUAAAAUGCCAGGUGUCCUCAGCUACUAAAGUGGCAGGAAGGCAUGGAUACACUCUAGUGCAUGCACACCCCUGCAUGUCUACAGUCUACAGUCUACGUAGUUAGCCUAUAUAAACAACACUAUCUCAUUUCAAAUCCAUCAAAACAUUUCAUCAAAAUGGCGAAUUAUCAGUCUCAAUAUGGUACAAAGCCCCAAGACACAGAUGAGUAUGGAAACCCGAUUCAACAGGGUACUACGGGAGGCUUCGGUAGUGCCACCACUGGUACUGGGUACGGGACCACUGAAACCCCGUACACAGGAGGGCAGCAGCAACAAGAGAGAGGUACUGGCAUGACUGGAAGUGGUUACGGGACUACUGAUGCCCCGUACACAGGAGGGCAGCAGCAACAAGAGAGAGGGAUGAUGGAUAAGAUCAAGGACAAGAUUCCAGGAACUGGUGGUGGACGUAGGGAUGACGACCCCUACUCAUCGAAUGCCCAGACCGGUACUGGCAUGACUGGAACUGGGUACGGAACUACUGACGCCCCGUACACUGGAGGGGAGUACGAAGAAAGGGGGAUGAUGGACAAGGUCAAGGACAAGAUUCCGGGGACUGGGCAGAGGGAUGAAACCUACUCAUCUAAGACGGCCUCCACCACCGCACCUUACGGUGGCACCACCGGAGAGCACCAGGAAAAGAAGGGCGCCAUGGACAAGAUCAAAGAAAAGCUUCCCGGUGGACGCCAUUAAAUAUAUAUGUGUGUGCGCGCGUAUGUAUUCUAGGGUCUUUUGAUGUGCUAAUAACCGGUGCUUGGUGUGAUUGUGUGAACGUAAUUUCUUU
rnacentral:lncRNA from 1 species